CGUCGCGAGGCGGAAUCCGAAGGAAGCCGGAGGCGAAACCUCGGCCCGAGGAACACGAACCGCAUAAGGCGGGCGCAGGGGGUGAGGCUGCCGAACAAGCCGAAACCCGAUAGCUGCACGGAACCUGCGGACGUAGAUGCGGCGGGCGCAUGAGGCGAAGGGGA
rnacentral:ncRNA from 1 species